AUAUAUACUAGGUGAUCAUCCGCA
rnacentral:siRNA from 1 species